UGAGGAAUAUUGCACAAUGGGCGCAAGCCUGAUGCAGCGACGCCGCGUGUGGGAUGAAGGGGCUACGCCUCGUAAACCACUGUAGCCCGGGACGAAAAACGCCCUAGAGGCGUUAGACGGUACCGGGAAAGUAAGGGUCGGCUAACUACGUGCCAGCAGCCGCGGUAAUACGUAGGACCCAAGCGUUGUCCGGAUUUACUGGGUGUAAAGGGUGCGCAGGCGGAUGGGUAAGUCAGGGGUGAAAGUCUGCAGCUUAACUGUAGAAUUGCCUUUGAUACUGCUCAUCUUGAGUGUGGGAGAGGUUGAUGGAAUUCCAGGUGUAGCAGUGAAAUGCGUAGAUAUCUGGAAGAACACCAGUGGCGAAGGCGGUCAACUGGCCCAUAACUGACGCUCAUGCACGAAAGCGUGGGGAGCAAACA
rnacentral:rRNA from 1 species